GGACAAGAGAAGCUUGCUUCUUUUGGAAUCGAGUGGCANNNGGGUGAGUAACACGUAAACAACCUGCCUUCAGGAUGGGGACAACAGACGGAAACGACUGCUAAUACCGAAUACGCUUGGAAGACCGCAUGAUUUUCCAAGGAAAGGGUGGCCUCUACCUGUAAGCUAUCGCCUGAAGAGGGGUUUGCGUCUGAUUAGGCAGUUGGUGAGGUAACGGCCCACCAAACCUACGAUCAGUAGCCGGUCUGAGAGGAUGAACGGCCACACUGGAACUGAGACACGGUCCAGACUCCUACGGGAGGCAGCAGUGGGGAAUCUUCCGCAAUGGGCGAAAGCCUGACGGAGCAACGCCGCGUGAGUGAUGACGGCCUUCGGGUUGUAAAGCUCUGUGAUCGGGGACGAACGGUCCGUAAGCUAAUACCUUAUGGAAGUGACGGUACCCGAAUAGCAAGCCACGGCUAACUACGUGCCAGCAGCCGCGGUAAUACGUAGGUGGCAAGCGUUGUCCGGAAUUAUUGGGCGUAAAGCGCGCGCAGGCGGCUUUCUAAGUCCAUCUUAAAAGUGCGGGGCUUAACCCCGUGAUGGGAUGGAAACUGGAAAGCUGGAGUAUCGGAGAGGAAAGUGGAAUUCCUAGUGUAGCGGUGAAAUGCGUAGAGAUUAGGAAGAACACCGGUGGCGAAGGCGACUUUCUGGACGACAACUGACGCUGAGGCGCGAAAGCGUGGGGAGCAAACAGGA
rnacentral:rRNA from 1 species